ensembl:lncRNA
GACUCUGCGGUGGGCGGCAGCCCAAAUCCCAUCCCUGAAGCCCACCUUCACUCGGGACCGGUUAUUACCGUGAGAGGCUGGAAAGAGCAAACAGCUCUGAGAUGCUACCCUCCCCACUCCUUUGAGAGCCGGCAGAGAACAUUUACCUUCAACCAGUCGAAGCUUGCCUAAAGGAGGGUCACAUAGGUUGCUUUGAAAGACUUCUGUGUCCAGCAUUUUGUUUGCACCUCCCCAGCUCUCUAAUGACAUCAAAGAGGCCAGAGUUGUUCUUUUCAGUUUCCAUUUGAAGAAGCAAAGAUCCAGAGAGUUCAGAGGACUUGACCAAGGGCACAGAGCCUCAAUAAGCAUGUGAAGUCUCAGGCACUUCACAGACAA